GUGCAACCGCGCAACCUGGUGCAAGGGUGCCCCCAUCGCUCCAGCUGUGAUGGCCAUAAACAGACAUGGGAUCUAGGUGUUUGCUGUGGCAACAUGUAGGAGCAGUGAGGUGCCUGAGCACAGCAUGCAGCCUCCCUGUCGCUCUGAUCAGAGCUGCUCUGACAUCAAACAAACACAUUUGCUGCUGUGCAAAAGCAAUGAGACCUCAGACGCCUCAGCAGCACCAGACAUCCCGUUACUCCCCAUCCACCAGGAGGAACGAAUUCAGUUGAGCCAGUGAGAAAAAGCACGUACACCCAUGGGUGGGGGGGUUAGUCACGACUCCUCUGCCCAGCAAAUGAGCACGAGCAACAGAGGGAAUGUGUGUGCGCGUCUCCACAGAGCUGCCCCCUGCCCCUCCUCUCCUCUCCACCCGCCACCGCUCCUUCUCCCAGACUUCAGUAUGCCACAGACCUGUU